CGGGCCGGGGAGCGGGCCAGGCGCGGGGGGCGGGACGCGAGUCGGAGGUCGGGCCUCCCCGGCGCUGACCCCGGGGAUCCCGGCGGACGGAGGGAUGUGGGUCCAUGGCCAUCGCGGUGGGGAGCAUCGCAGCAGCGCGGCAGGGAGACAUGUUGCUGGAGCAGACGCUGAAAACUUAAAUUUGAUCCACAAGCAGGAGGCAGAGACACUGGGCCCUGUCCUGAGUUUUUGAAACCUCAAAGCCCACCCCGAGUGUCACACCUCCCCCAACAAGACCACACCCCUUAUCCUUCCUAAACAGUCCAACUGGGGACCAAACAUUCAAACAUAAGAGCCUAUGGAGGCCGUUCCGGCUCAAUCCACCACACUGCACUGCACGAGAAGUCAUCAGCCAUUCCUACAUCAUUAUUUAUCAUUAUUUAUUCAACAAAUUCUAAGCACCAACUGCA